GGGGGUAGGCAGGCGCGGCCGGCCCCGCACCGCCGCUUCGCCUCGCCUCGCCUCGCCCGCCGCCGCCGGGUCGCGGGUCAGCGCCGCGCCGCCUCCUCGCCCCCGGGGCAGGCCGCGCCGCGGGCGGGCGCCUCCUUCGCUCCCGCCUCCCCUGGCGGCGCUCCCUGGCCGCGCGGCGCGGCCUGGCGGCGUCGAGGCCGCUGAAACGGCGGCACCGAGGGCGGCGUGCGGUGACCGGGCAGCCCCGCGGAGCCGCUGCGUACUUUGAAACUGCCUCAAGGGGGGAGAGCGGGAGAGAGGGCGGGAGGCGGGCGGCGGGCGAGGCCGCGGCGGCGGGGAGGGCGCCGGGGUGGGUCGAAGCGUCGAGAAGGGGGCGCGAGGCGCGGGUCGCCGGCCCUGGCGUGGUGCCGGUCGCCUCCCCAGCACGGGGGUCCGGGAAUCUCCCACAUAGGCGGGGCUGUCUCUGUACAUAGCCCGGGGGGGGGGCAUGUUCCCUGGUCGGUGACGGGAAGGCUUUGCCUGCUCACUGUCUUGAGACUCAAAAUACUAUUUCCUGACUCCUCAGGGAGGCCCUUCGGUGAGACACCGCGGGAGCCCCGACGGCGGCGGCCUGCGGAGUCUCCGAAGGCUGGCAUGGGACAGCACGCGGCCUGGGAGGCCGUGUCAGACGCGCUCACCUCCGCGCCGCUGCUCCUCGGGGUUACUUCAGUCCGUUUCGCGGGGAGCUGAGGUUCGGCUUUGACGGCUGCUCUGCCGAUAAAGCAUUUUAACUCAUCUAGAAACUGUAUAAACAUCACAAGCCUUUAAAAUACUCCUCUGUGCUUCGUAUUUUAAAUUUUAAAUCAGCUUUGUUAUUAUUCUAGUAAGUUUGUGUACAAAAAGGAGAUGAUUACCCAGAACAGAAGCAUUACCUUGGUAAGAGAUUUAUUUUGAAAUGUGUGUCAAUUACAGGAUGGCUUUAAAACAAGUUUGAAUGCAGAGAUGAAUUGACAGUGGGCUUUGAAUAUUUUGCACACUGAGUGAACUUAAUUUACAUUAGAUGGGUAUCGGGUUUGUGAGAAAAGUUGUAUUUUUAUAAUUGCAGAUUGUUUUUCAUUUAAUCUCUACUGUUUUGUGCCUUUAUAUAAAUAUUAUUUAUUUAUUUUGUUGCUUUUGUUUGACAGUUUCUUUUUGUUCCUUCAGACAAUUUCAGUAUAAUUUAAUAUACUUUUGCUGUAAGGAAAACUCUAGCGCAAAAUAAAUGAUAUCCUAAUCACUGAUUCUAAUUACAGAGACAGUAAGCCAUGGCAAACAGUCCUGCUCCCACCAGUUCAAUGGCAAAACUCCUAUUGACUUGAGUAGGAGCGGUACUAGGCUUUAAAAUUCUCAUAAUUAAUAGCAAGAUAAAAAUGAUUCAGGGAUGCAAGAUAUGAAAAAAUGACUGUCCUAUUAUAAGAAGUGAUCAGUUGGGCUAUUUUUCAUAAAUGCAAUGCUAAAAUCAGACAAUUCCAAACUUGCAAUAUAAAAAAAGUUUUUUAUUCUAACUUUAUUAAUUUCCUAAAUUAAUAACUUGAACAAACAGUUAAUUUUUCAGUAUUUGGCAUAGUUGAAUAUGUAGCUCAUGCUGUUGCAGCUUUGAAGUAUGUAUCAUUCUGUACCCACUCAAUGAAAGCUAUUCUUUUCUGUCCUGUUGUAUUAGGAUCGCUUAUUAAUUACAUGAAAUACAAGAGAGUGUUAAACUUACAGUGUCUUAUUUGAGGUUGUAUGACACCAGAAUGAUGGCAGGAAUUUCUUAACACAUUUGAACUUUUCAUACAUAUUGUGUAUUUUGUAAAUAUGCAUAGUUUUGUAAGAAUCUGAUCCUGUAAGUGUUCUAGAUCGUAACACUUAGUUUUGCGUAUAAGGUGCUUACUGGAUAGAGCUGUUUAAUCUUUAGGUGAGAUGUAGGUGUGAUAGAAACUUGUAAGAUCAAACCUUUUACCUUUUUGCCUCAUUUUCCUGUGUGUAAAAUAGGUUUCAUGUGCCUGGCUAUAAACCUAACUAGGACAGGAAUAGAUUUUUGUAAAUGUACAAAAUCAACUAAAGAAUUACAGUGAUAGUUCUACUGUGUAACUGUAGUAGUUCUACUAUACCAGAACUACUCUGUAGAUUUUGCUAAUUCAAUGCCACUAUUAUUAUUUACUAGGAAGCUCCUUACAAGAAAAGGAGCAGAUGCAGGGCAGGUUAUAAUCUCAACACAUUUUUGGACGUGCUCCACUGAACUAUUUUCUUCUCAAUCACAAUAUUUGGAGUGUAUGCAAUGAAUUUCAGAGCAUUUCAGGAAGAUAUCAUCCCUGUUUAGCAAAAUGAAAAGUAUUUGGUCCAGGAUCACCUAAUGAGUCACUGGAGAGAUGAGAAUAUAACUACAAGUCCUGUGCUCUAACUGUUAAAUCGCUCAUUCUUUCCUUUAUUGUGUACAUAGGAACAGAAGUAUUAUCAGGGAAUUCUUACUGUGAGCAAAAACCAGAAGUUAGAAAUGUUGCAACUGCUCUAACUCUGGAGCAAGUCAUACAUGCAUGCAGUCAAUGUGCAAUACUUGGAAUGCAAGGAUGAUCUCAAAGCCAAAGACCACCACCUUGCAUCUGACUUCAGAGCCUAAUAGGAGAAGAUUUUGACACACCUGCUUUAGCAUGUCUUUUCCCAAGUUUAUCUGCCAGUGUAUUCUGAACGCCUUGAAGUUACCUGUGUGCUGCAGGUAUCAUGCCUAUAUAUAUAUAUACACACACACACAAAACUACUGAUAAUCCAUCUGAAAGUGAUAGCAAAAUUAAUAAUGAGGGCUAGGUCACAUCACUGUGACAGUGAAUUAGCUGUAAUGUCCUAUCCAGCCAAAAUAUUGCUUUAGUAUGUACCGUGCAAAUUCCAGAAGCAAUAAGGAAUCUACAGUGGAGAGAGAGAGUUGAUGCACUUCAUAAACUGUGGAUGUCUAAGCAUAUGCCAAAACCUCAUAGUACUUAUUAGAUUGUUAUUCAUUUUCCUCUCCCCCCCUUCUUUGUUUCUGUUAAGAUUGUGUUUUGAGGGAAAUGACACUCAGCUUUUAUCAUUAAGAAAAAGAGUACAUGUUAAUUUGUAUUCAGGAUGUCAGCCUUUGCUUCAGAGUUGUCAACACCAUCUCUCUACGGAAUAAAUACAGCACAUAAAACAACAAUAGCAUACUUCCUCAGCAUUUAUCACUUGUGGCAUCAAGGCCCUCAGAACAAAAAAAGUAAGUUAAUCAUCUUUUGAGUCUAGAAUCAAAAAAUCAGCUGAUAGCAGCUUUCAGAAGAGAGAGCUGAAGGUUAAGGGGUUUGGGGCUUUUUUGUUUGUUUUUCAUGCUCAAUGUUAAGCAGAAAAUAAAUGUUUAUUUCAUUCCUUUAA